GGGUGGGAGAGAGAGACUAACUCUGACUAUGAUAUAGGUCAAAGAUUAAUGAAAAUGUUGGGCAAUGAUGGUGUCAUCCUUAGAAAGAGCAUGAAUUUCAGUAACUUAUCACUAUGUUUAGCUAUUUGAUUCCAUGAAAUUUCAGGUCAAUUGAGCCAUAAGUGAAAGGAAAAGAUUUAUUCUGACUGUGAUAUUGCUUUAAGUCCUUUCUCUUUCGGGUGGUUGUUACACAGUUGUCACAAAUCACAAGAAAUGUUGAUUGGGGUUAAAAAUGUGUCUUUGUUUCAACCUCUAUGUAUUAAUCUGAACGAUAACACACUCUAUCAAGUCUAUGAAAUUCUAUAUGUAUUUUUGUUGUGAUCUUUUAAAUUUAUGAAAUUCUAUGUCUGGUA